CGAAGAUUGAAUUCCCUCUCUUCCCGAUCCCUCGCUCCAUCGCACCACUCGGAAACCUGUGCGAACUUUUGUUACUGCACUCGCAAGCCUCACGAGCACCCCGACAUUUCCGGGAAGCAUGAGUUUUUUGUUUUUGUUUUUGUUUUUUUAAUGUAUUGGCUUUCCUUUUUCGUUUCUUUUAAAAAAACAGAUAUAUCAAAAAUAAAUCUUCCCCACUUCUCUCAUGUCAUAGUGUCUCUCGCGCAUCCUCUUUCAAUCGAAAAGCGUUUCCCCCAAUUUCUACUUCGUCACAUUGACAGGGAGUGUAAAAAGAUAAUAGUGUAGGAUGAAGGUGGAUCCCGUAACAGCAGCAGCACACUUCUGCUUUGCAGCUUUCGGAUCAUCUGUUGUUGCAUGGGGCUGAGCCCUACGAUUAGCCAGCCGUUGGUUGUCCUCCGACUUUAAAGACCCCCAAGCUGGCUUACGCAAAGUAUAGUAAUCCAGUUCACCUGCCGAGUCGAGGUCACACCACCUGGGAGGAAUGAGAACUUUUAUUUAAAAAGUGCCUGUGAACUGUCCAGGUGCCAAUAUUUCGACCCUCCCCCUCGUUUUUGGUUGUCGUCCUAUUCCUUACCGCGAGGGGGUUGUUGGCAGAUUCCAGUAGACUUCACCUGCACUGAGUAGAGAUGAAUUCUCUCUCACCUGCGCUUCUAAGAUUAGCAACACGCGUUGUUCGAGCCAGCCCUCCACUUUUCCCCCCUUAAAAACCGACGACGUGUCAUCCCUGUCUUCUUCAGGUUGCGAAGGACGACGGUGUCAUUCAUCCGGUACCAAAUUAUCACGCACAAUGUGACACUCGCAUCCUGGAAAACAACUAGCGACAUCCCACACCAGAGGAAUUUCCAGCAAUGAGCCAGCCUUUCAGACCACGCUCUUAUUGAUGUUGGUGUUGGUUCUGGAUUCUGCAGCUCUUUGUGGGUGGUGCGGCACCAGCUGUGGCUGAGGAGAGCCUCUUGUUCAUCACAGGCACCCCAAAACUUUUCGGAGUCAAGGUAUUCUGCUAGUAGAAAAGGACCUGCUUAUUAGUCACACGCCCCUUGUGGUGUUGCUGUGUGGUAUCUUAAGAGAUGUGAGCUGCGGGAAAUGAAGAAGGGUGGUUUGCAUGGGCUGCUUCUACAGAGGUGCAGCACCUCAUGAAUGGAAGAAAACAGGCCUGUGCAUCCUAAACAGUGCCGAAGCACACACAUACACACAAAAACACACAUGCACAACGUGUGAUAUUGCCACUGUGUCCACAGGCAAUAAUAAAAACAGCAACAACAAAAAUCAUAAUUGACAGAGAAAGAGACAUGGUGGGGGGUGGAGAAAAGCCCUGCCUUAGUGCUGACACCUCCACACACACACACACACACAAAUUGCUUUGUGGGUGCUAGAUCUGGCUUUUUGGUUUCUCUUUUUUAAAAUCAAAAUCAAAAUAAAUUCCAGAAGGUUUGCACCCGACUUGAGCAACCAUUCAGCCCA